rnacentral:lncRNA from 1 species
CCGAGCAGGCGGGGGGGCUUCCUCCGCUGGGCGGUCGGGCGCCCGCCGGCCUAGCGGGAGGCUCCCGGCGCUAAGCCGAGCCCGGCGGACAUCGGAGCGUCGGGAGAGGGUGCGGAAGUGCCGAAAACGGUCAAUAAAGCCGCGGGAGAGGGACGGCGCAGGGGUUUCCCUGCUGGGGUGACCCGGCAGCCCCGAGCGCGCUUCCCCCUCCCGUCCCAGCAGCAGCCCAGACGCCUCUACUAGAAAAAUAUGUUUAUUUUUUCCCUCUGGAAAAGAGGGAGUGCCCCGCUCUGCCCUGGAGCGAUGUCACCAAGGCGGAACGGGCACCGUAUCCGCUGCCGGUGCCACGAAGGGAACGUCACCGGCUCCUCCCUGCCCCGCUGCCCCAGGUCCCCCCGAGUGUCGGAGGUGUCUUGCUGCCGCUCGCCCCGUCUCCGUCUCCGUCUCCAUCUUGGGGGAGCAGGAUGCAGCUCCUGGCGGCAGCAAGGAGGGGGGGGAUCCGCCCGGGGAUCCCGCUCCGUCCGCCGUGCGCCUCCCGUCCCGCGAGGCCCCGGGGCUCCACUCUCCGGCAGCCGAGGGGGCGAGCCGAGCGCGGCCCCCUCGCCGGCCCCCUUCCUGCCCCUCGGUCACUAACCUACGGCGGGGUGUGGGGGGAAGGAAUCGGGUUUCCCGGGUCCGGGAGCCCCCCGGUGUGCCGGGAGGGGUGCGGGGAGGCGCGGCGGCUCUAGGCGAGGCUGUCCUUGACCUGCUGCACGAUGCGCGCCCUCACGGCCCGCGCCUCGCUGGAGAUCUGCACGUAGGGAGUCUGUACGGGCAGCUCGGGCUCGGGCUCGGCGCCGUCGGGCGGCUCGGCGCCGUCGGGCAGCUCCAGGGGCAUGCGGCGGCUGAGGGCGAUGUUGUGCAGGAUGCAGCAGGCCAGGAAGAUCUGGCAGACCUUCUGCGGCGUGUACUGCAGCGAGCCGCUGGCCUUGUCCAGGCAGCGGAAGCGCAUCUUGAGCAGGGCGCAGGUCUGGCGCAGCGCCGCCAGCGCCUCGUGGUGCAGGGCGUUGUAGCGCUCCUCCGCCGGGCUGCACGGGAACAGGAUGGGGGUCAUCAGCCACGUCUUCAGCGGGUAACUCCGGUCUCCUGGCGAGAGGGGAGGGAGAAGGGAGGCGUGAGCGGCCACGUCCCCGCACCGCCGCCACCGCCCUCCGUCCCU